AAGAAAUCGUUAAGGGCGUAUGGCGGAUGCCUAGGCUUUCAGAGGCGAAGAAGGACGUGGUAAGCUGCGAAAAGCUCGGGGGAUUGGCACACACGAAUUGAUCCCGAGAUGUCCGAAUGGGGCAACCCAAUACAUUGAAGAUGUAUUACUCUAAAUUUAUUUAGAGAGCAAACCCGGAGAACUGAAACAUCUAAGUACCCGGAGGAAAAGAAAUCGAAGAGAUUCCGUAAGUAGUGGCGAGCGAAAGCGGAUUAGCCCAAAAGCUUUUAUAUGUUUAAUAGAAUGUUCUGGAAAGAACAGCCAUAGAGGGUGAUAGCCCCGUAUAUGAAAGGCAUACAUAAGUGAUAAAUGAGUAGGGCGGGACACGUGAAAUCCUGUCUGAAUAUGGGGGGACCAUCCUCCAAGGCUAAAUACUCCUGAAAGACCGAUAGUGAACAAGUACUGUGAAGGAAAGGUGAAAAGCACUUCGAAUAGAAGGGUGAAAGAGAACCUGAAACCGUACGCCUACAAGCGGUCGGAGCCCACAAGUUGGGUGACGGCGUGCCUUUUGCAUAAUGAGCCUACGAGUUAAUUUUACUAGCGAGCUUAAGCACUUCAGGUGCGGAGGCGGAGCGAAAGCGAGUCUGAAUAGGGCGCAUAGUUAGUAGGAUUAGACGCGAAACCUUGUGAUCUACCCAUGGGCAGGUUGAAGCUUUGGUAACACAAAGUGGAGGACCGAACCGGUUGACGUUGAAAAGUCUUCGGAUGACUUGUGGGUAGGGGUGAAAGGCCAAUCAAACUGGGAGAUAGCUCGUACUCCCCGAAAUGCAUUUAGGUGCAGCGUCGAUGUUAAGUUUAUUAGAGGUAGAGCUACUGAUUGGAUGCGGGGGAGUCAAAUCCUACCAAUUCCUGACAAACUCCGAAUGCUAAUAAAUGUUCGUCGGCAGUGAGGGCAUGGGUGCUAAGGUCCAUGUCCGAGAGGGAAAGAACCCGGACCAACAGCUAAGGUCCCCAAAUCUAUACUAAGUUGAAAUAACGCGGUUGAACUGCAUUGACAGCUAGGAUGUUGGCUUGGAAGCAGCCAUUCAUUUAAAGAGUGCGUAACAGCUCACUAGUCGAGCGGUUCGGCAUGGAUAAUAAUCGGGCAUAAGUAUAGUACCGAAGCUAUGGAUUUAUAACUUUUGAGUUAUAUCUGGUAGGGGAGCAUUCUGUUUGCACAGAAGCCACAUCGUGAGGUGUGGUGGAGCGUACAGAAAAGAAAAUGUAGGCAUAAGUAACGAUAAAGCGGGCGAGAAACCCGCUCACCGAAAGACUAAGGUUUCCUCAGCCAUGCUAAUCAGCUGAGGGUUAGUCGGGACCUAACGCGAACCCGAAAGGGGAAGUGGAUGGACAAUGGGUUAAUAUUCCCAUACUUGCUCACACUAAAAAGGGGACGGAGUGACGUAGCUACUGGAGACUGACGGAAUAGUCAAGACCUAGCCUUCGGGCGAAGUUGUUGUAGUGAACUCGCUUCCAAGAAAAGCCGAAGUGAAGCAACCCGUACCAAAACCGACACAGGUAGUCGAGGAGAGAAUCCUAAGGUGCUAGAGUGAAUCAUGGUUAAGGAACUAGGCAAAAUAGUCUCGUAACUUCGGAAGAAGAGACGCCAGCCGCAAGGCUGGCCGCAGUGAAGAGGCCCAGGCGACUGUUUAUCAAAAACACAGGACUCUGCAAAAUCGAAAGAUGAAGUAUAGGGUCUGACACCUGCCCGGUGCUGGAAGGUUAAGGAAGGUUGUUAGCAGCAAUGCGAAGCAAUUGACUGAAGCCCCAGUAAACGGCGGCCGUAACUAUAACGGUCCUAAGGUAGCGAAAUUCCUUGUCGGGUAAGUUCCGACCUGCACGAAUGGUGUAACGAUCUGGGCACUGUCUCAACCAUGAGCUCUGUGAAAUUGUAGUAUCGGUGAAGAUGCCGAUUACCCGCAAUGGGACGAAAAGACCCUGUGAACCUUUACUAUAACUUCGUAUUGACUUUGAAUAAACAAUGUGUAGGAUAGGUGGGAGACUUUGAAGCGGGCACGCCAGUGUCUGUGGAGUCAACGUUGAAAUACCACCCUUUGUUUAUUUGGAGCCUAAUCCCGGCUUGUUCGGGAGACAUUGCGUGGUGGGUAGUUUGACUGGGGUGGUCGCCUCCAAAAGAGUAACGGAGGCUUUCAAAGGUACCCUCAGCACGCUUGGUAACCGUGCGUAGAGUGUAAUGGCAUAAGGGUGCUUGACUGUGAGACCUACAAGUCGAUCAGGUGCGAAAGCAGGACAUAGUGAUCCGGUGGUUCCGUAUGGAAGGGCCAUCGCUCAUAGGAUAAAAGGUACUCCGGGGAUAACAGGCUAGUCUCCCCCAAGAGCUCACAUCGACGGGGAGGUUCGGCACCUCGAUGUCGGCUCGUCACAUCCUGGGGCUGGAGAAGGUCCCAAGGGUUGGGCUGUUCGCCCAUUAAAGUGGCACGCGAGCUGGGUUCAGAACGUCGUGAGACAGUUCGGUCUCUAUCUAUUGCGGGCGUUAGAUGUUUGAGAGGGCUUGAAUCUAGUACGAGAGGACCGAUUUGAACAAACCUCUGGUGUAUCAGUUGUACCGCCAGGUGCACCGCUGAGUAGCUACGUUUGGUAAGGAUAAGCACUGAAAGCAUAUAAGUGCGAAACCUGCCUCAAGAUGAGACAUCUUUUAAGGGUCGUUGGAGAUGACAACGUUGAUAGGCUAUAGGUGUAAAGACAGUAAUGUCAUAGCCGAGUAGUACUAAUUACCCGUAGAUUUAUAGCCU
rnacentral:rRNA from 1 species